UGUCUUUCUUUAGCAUGUGUUAAAACUGAUUUCCGAAGUGAGGAAAGAGCAGCCCCUUAAAUAGGCAAAUAAAAGUUACUUUUUGGACAGAUUUGGAUUCCAAAAAGUCUGUCCAAAAAGGACUGACUUUGUGUGCUAAACACUGUUCAAAAGCUGUCCAAAAUAUGAAAGGACGGCUUAAAAAUCUGGUAUAGCAGAAGCAAGGAGAAAAAAAUAUCAUUUCAGUCAUCCUCCUAGUAAAAAGUAUAAAAAGUAGGUUACUAGUACCUUAUUUUAUGAUAAAUUUAUCUAAACUUUAGAUUUUAACAACAUCAAUAACACCAUAUUGAUUUUGAACCAAACUAAACUCAAACAACUAAGAAUUGACAAAACAGAAACAAGAGUACAAAUGGAAUUAAAACUCAAACAUACUAGAUUAAAACAAAUUGAUUUGCGCAAACUAAACAUAGAACAACUGAAACCACGAAGUAUUACGCAAAACAGAAUUUGGAUGAGCAUCGCAUAAUUAUUAGACAACGAUCAACAACAAGCUCUUAUGCUAUGAACUAACAAGCGAUUCACAACUAAUAUUACCAUAGUUUAAUUAAUCUAUAAAUACUACUAACAAAAUUAGGAGUAAAGAUUUAUCCCUAAAACUAAAUCUGAAGCAUAAGCUGAAAAGUCAUAAACGGGAAAGGGGAGAUGGAUUUAAGAUUUACCGGAAACUCGAGGAACAAGGCGGCGGUGAUACAACGGCAGUGGUGGUGGUGAUUCGACCCGGGACAUGGUUUUAUUGUUGAUUGAUACCAAAAAUCCUAAAUUCGGUGAGCUGAAUUUCGAUGUUGGUAUAAUCGACAAUAAAAUCAUGUCUGAGUCGAUUGGAGGCAAGAACGGAAGGAUGUUGGAGGCGGCGACGGCAUUGGGCGGUCAUUAGUGACUUCGUCGGAAAAUAGUCGACGAAAUUCGGGGUCCUAACAAAUAGUAAAAGAGAGAGCUAAAGGUGUUCUAUCCAUCCAUCUAUGUAUUGUGGGGUGGUGGUGGACGGAACUUCACGAAUUUGAGAAGAAUGGUGGCAGCUACGGUUUCCUAUAUAUAAAAUUCGUGGAGUUUGAGGGUUUUUGAAGAAUUUGGUUUGAAGAUAUGGAAAGAGGAGGUGUUGGAGAUUACAUGGUGAAAUUUUGGGUGUGUUUGGAGGUUAGCCGCCACUAGUGACGAAUCCCGGCAAGCGUCGACGCCAUGGAGGGAGUGGCGGCGACAGAGAUGAAGGAGAGAGAAGAGAUAGAGAGAUGGGGAGG
rnacentral:lncRNA from 1 species